AACAUCGCGCACCUGCGGGAACCUGCGGAAGGAUCAUUAGCGAGUUGCAAAACUCCCAAACCAUUGUGAACCUACCUGUACCGUUCCUUCGGCGGGCGGCCCACGCCCUAACCUGCCAGCCCCCUCGCGGGCCGGCGGACCCGCCGGAGGCCCCUAAACCCUUAGCUUCUUUGGCACCUCUGAGUAUACUUUUUAAUAAGUCAAAACUUUCAACAACGGAUCUCAGAUCGGAAGAGCACA
rnacentral:misc_RNA from 1 species